UACGUAGGGGCAAGCGUUAUCCGGAUUUACUGGGUGUAAAGGGAGCGUAGACGGCAGUGCAAGUCUGAAGUGAAAGCUCGCGGCUUAACCGCGGAACUGCUUUGGAAACUGUACAGCUAGAGUACCGGAGGGGUAAGCGGAAUUCCUAGUGUAGCGGUGAAAUGCGUAGAUAUUAGGAAGAACGCCGGUGGCGAAGGCGGCUUACUGGACGGUAACUGACGUUGAGGCUCGAAAGCGUGGGGAGCAAACAGGAUUAGAUACCCCGGUAGUCCCUGAGCGGGCUGGCAA
rnacentral:rRNA from 1 species